rnacentral:lncRNA from 1 species
UCCUCCGGGUUUUGAGAGGAAAAUAAUACACCUUCUGUCCCAACUUCAGCCUCCAGCACCUAAAAAAGCAACUCAGGAAGAAGAAAACCAAGUUUCAGAUGAAGAACCAGAUUGGCAGGAAUCAUUACCUUGUAUGAUGGCAAAGGAAUGUGUUGAAGAUUCAGCUGAUUCUUCAAUCCAAGAAGACCAGACAUGCAGCGAGAUAAAGAUGCCAUACAUCGAUUCAAUCAUU